rnacentral:rRNA from 1 species
UACGUAGGUGGCAAGCGUUGUCCGGAAUUACUGGGCGUAAAGGGCGAGUAGGCGGUAAUACAAGUCAGAUGUGAAAGGCGAGGGCUCAACCCUCGGAUUGCAUUUGAAACUGUGUAACUUGAGUGCGGUAGAGGAAAGUGGAAUUCCCAGUGUAGCGGUGAAAUGCGUAGAUAUUGGGAGGAACACCAGUGGCGAAGGCGACUUUCUGGGCCGUAACUGACGCUGAGGCGCGAAAGCGUGGGGAGCGAACAGGAUUAGAUACCCUGGUAGUCCACGCCGUAAACGAUGGAUGCUAGGUGUGGGAGGUAUCGACCCCUUCCGUGCCGGAGUUAACGCAAUAAGCAUCCCGCCUGGGGAGUACGACCGCAAGGUUGAA